CGGAGCGUGGCGCAGUCUGGUUAGCGCACUUGUCUGGGGGACAAGGGGUCGGCGGUUCGAAUCCGCCCGCAUCGG
rnacentral:tRNA from 2 species